rnacentral:rRNA from 1 species
UACGAAGGGGGCGAGCGUUGUUCGGAUUUACUGGGCGUAAAGGGCGCGCAGGCGGCUCAUUUUGUCAGGCGUGAAAGCCCCGGGCUUAACCUGGGAACUGCGUUUCUAACUGGCAGGCUUGAGUGUGGCAGAGGGGGGUGGAAUUCCACGUGUAGCAGUGAAAUGCGUAGAGAUGUGGAGGAACACCGAUGGCGAAGGCAGCCCCCUGGGCUAACACUGACGCUCAUGCACGAAAGCGUGGGGAGCAAACAGG